rnacentral:rRNA from 1 species
GACAGAGGGUGCAAACGUUGCUCGGAAUUAGCUGGGCGUAAAGGGCGCGUAGGCGGCCGUUUGCGUCGGAUGUGAAAGGCCCGGGGCUCAACCUCGGAACGGCAUUCGAUACGGGACGGCUGGAGACCGGGAGAGGAGAGUGGAAUAGCCAGUGUAGAGGUGAAAUUCGUAGAUAUUGGCUGGAACACCGGUGGCGAAAGCGGCUCUCUGGCCCGGUUCUGACGCUGAGGCGCGAAAGCGUGGGGAGCAAACAGG